CUGUCCCCAACAGGUUGGCUGUAGAAUAGUGUGAGGCCGUUGUUCUCCAAUCAAAAGGAUAAACACGUGCCUGACUUUCCAUCUCUUGAAGAGCGGUUGGUGUACGAACGCAUGACAGGAUCACUCUCACAUGACUCAAGAGCAAGUACUUAAUUUGGAAGGUGAAGGAACUGCUGGUAGCUCUCUGUACAGCAGCUGUAUAAAUACCGCUCAGGCAGACUUCUUGGCAAAUACAGCAAGGCUGCUACAAACAGCCAAAAACAAAGCGGAAUUGUUCUAGGAAAUAAAUUACUUGAACAGCGGAGGAGACUUUGCCCUAUUUGAUAUGGAAAGCACAGCCAUGGGUAUGGAUAUCAGAGCCUCAGAGUUAGGAGCUGCUCCAAGCCUUCUUCCCUAGAUGCCUCACACCCCUCCUGGACAACUUCCAAGUAUCACAGCUCUGGAUGGCCACUCAUCUUCUGUGUACAGACUCCAACCCAGCUGAAACCCAUUUCAUGAAAUGUACUUUAUAUAAACCUAAUUUAUUAAAG
rnacentral:lncRNA from 10 species